GUAACACGUGGGUAACCUGCCCAUAAGACUGGGAUAACUCCGGGAAACCGGGGCUAAUACCGGAUAACAUUUUGAACCGCAUGGUUCGAAAUUGAAAGGCGGCUUCGGCUGUCACUUAUGGAUGGACCCGCGUCGCAUUAGCUAGUUGGUGAGGUAACGGCUCACCAAGGCAACGAUGCGUAGCCGACCUGAGAGGGUGAUCGGCCACACUGGGACUGAGACACGGCCCAGACUCCUACGGGAGGCAGCAGUAGGGAAUCUUCCGCAAUGGACGAAAGUCUGACGGAGCAACGCCGCGUGAGUGAUGAAGGCUUUCGGGUCGUAAAACUCUGUUGUUAGGGAAGAACAAGUGCUAGUUGAAUAAGCUGGCACCUUGACGGUACCUAACCAGAAAGCCACGGCUAACUACGUGCCAGCAGCCGCGGUAAUACGUAGGUGGCAAGCGUUAUCCGGAAUUAUUGGGCGUAAAGCGCGCGCAGGUGGUUUCUUAAGUCUGAUGU
rnacentral:rRNA from 2 species